ACGAACGCUGGCGGCGUGGAUAAGACAUGCAAGUCGAACGGGAGAAUUGCUAGCUUGCUAAUAAUUCUCUAGUGGCGCACGGGUGAGUAACACGUGAGUAACCUGCCUCUUAGUGGGGGAUAGCCCUGGGAAACCGGGAUUAAUACCGCAUACGAUUGAAAGAUCAAAGCAGCAAUGCGCUAGGAGAUGGGCUCGCGGCCUAUUAGUUAGUUGGUGAGGUAACGGCUCACCAAGGCGAUGACGGGUAGCCGGUCUGAGAGGAUGUCCGGCCACACUGGAACUGAGACACGGUCCAGACGCCUACGGGUGGCAGCAGUCGAGAAUCAUUCACAAUGGGGGCAACCCUGAUGGUGCGACGCCGCGUGGGGGAAUGAAGGUCUUCGGAUUGUAAACCCCUGUCAUGUGGGAGCAAAUUAAAAAGAUAGUACCACAAGAGGAAGAGACGGCUAACUCUGUGCCAGCAGCCGCGGUAAUACAGAGGUCUCAAGCGUUGUUCGGAAUCACUGGGCGUAAAGCGUGCGUAGGCUGUUUCGUAAGUCGUGUGUGAAAGGCAGGGGCUCAACCCCUGGAUUGCACAUGAUACUGCGAGACUAGAGUAAUGGAGGGGGAACCGGAAUUCUCGGUGUAGCAGUGAAAUGCGUAGAUAUCGAGAGGAACACUCGUGGCGAAGGCGGGUUCCUGGACAUUAACUGACGCUGAGGCACGAAGGCCAGGGGAGCGAAAGGGAUUAGAUACCCCUGUAGUCCUGGCAGUAAACGGUGCACGCUUGGUGUGCGGGGAAUCGACCCCCUGCGUGCCGGAGCUAACGCGUUAAGCGUGCCGCCUGGGGAGUACGGUCGCAAGAUUAAAACUCAAAGAAAUUGACGGGGACCCGCACAAGCGGUGGAGUAUGUGGCUUAAUUCGAUGCAACGCGAAGAACCUUACCUGGGCUUGACAUGUAAUGAACAACAUGUGAAAGCAUGCGACUCUUCGGAGGCGUUACACAGGUGCUGCAUGGCCGUCGUCAGCUCGUGUCGUGAGAUGUUUGGUUAAGUCCAGCAACGAGCGCAACCCCUGUUGCCAGUUACCAGCACGUCAAGGUGGGGACUCUGGCGAGACUGCCCAGAUCAACUGGGAGGAAGGUGGGGACGACGUCAGGUCAGUAUGGCCCUUAUGCCCAGGGCUGCACACGUACUACAAUGCCCAGUACAGAGGGGGCCGAAGCCGCGAGGCGGAGGAAAUCCUGAAAACUGGGCCCAGUUCGGACUGUAGGCUGCAACCCGCCUACACGAAGCCGGAAUCGCUAGUAAUGGCGCAUCAGCUACGGCGCCGUGAAUACGUUCCCGGGUCUUGUACACACCGCCCGUCACAUCAUGGAAGCCGGUCGCACCCGAAGUAUCUGAAGCCAACCGCAAGGAGGCAGGGUCCUAAGGUGAGACUGGUAACUGGGAUG
rnacentral:rRNA from 1 species